GUAACAAGGUCUCCGUUGGUGAACCAGCGGAGGGAUCAUUACCGAGUUUACAACUCCCAAACCCAUGUGAACAUACCUAUUGUUGCUUCGGCGGGAUUGCCCCGGGCGCCUCGUGUGCCCCGGAUCCGGCGCCCGCCUAGGAACUUUAACUCUUGUUUUAUUUUGAAUCUUCUGAGUAGUUUUUACAAAUAAAUAAAAACUUUCAACAACGGAUCUCUUGGUUCUGGCAUCGAUGAAGAACGCAGCGAAAUGCGAUAAGUAAUGUGAAUUGCAGAAUUCAGUGAAUCAUCGAAUCUUUGAACGCACAUUGCGCCCGCCAGUAUUCUGGCGGGCAUGCCUGUCUGAGCGUCAUUUCAACCCUCAUGCCCCUAGGGCGUGGUGUUGGGGAUCGGCCAAAGCCCGCGAGGGACGGCCGGCCCCUAAAUCUAGUGGCGGACCCGUCGUGGCCUCCUCUGCGAAGUAGUGAUAUUCCGCAUCGGAGAGCGACGAGCCCCUGCCGUUAAACCCCCAACUUUCCAAGGUUGACCUCAGAUCAGGUAGGAAUACCCGCUGAACCUAAGCA
rnacentral:misc_RNA from 1 species